rnacentral:rRNA from 1 species
CCCUUAGAUGUUCUGGGCCGCACGCGCGCUACACUGAUGCAUGCAACAAGUCUUUUCCUUGGCCGAGAGGCCUGGGCAAUCUUUGAAUAUGCAUCGUGAUGGGGAUAGACGAUUGCAAUUAUUCGUCUUCAACGAGGAAUUCCUAGUAAACGCAAGUCAUCAGCUUGCAUUGAUUACGUCCCUGCCCUUUGUACACACCGCCCGUCGCACCUACCGAUUGAAUGGUCCGGUGAAAUCUCCGGACUGGCGUGAGUCGGAGCAAUCUGACAAACACCGGAAAGUUGAUUAAACCUUACCAUUUAGAGGAAGGUGAAGUCGUAACA